GACGAACGCUGGCGGCGUGCUUAACACAUGCAAGUCGAACGGAAAGGCCCUGCUUGCAGGGUACUCGAGUGGCGAACGGGUGAGUAACACGUGGGUGAUCUGCCCUGCACUUCGGGAUAAGCCUGGGAAACUGGGUCUAAUACCGGAUAGGAGCCAUUUUUAGUGUGAUGGUUGGAAAGUUUUUUCGGUGUAGGAUGAGCUCGCGGCCUAUCAGCUUGUUGGUGGGGUAAUGGCCUACCAAGGCGGCGACGGGUAGCCGGCCUGAGAGGGUGGACGGCCACAUUGGGACUGAGAUACGGCCCAGACUCCUACGGGAGGCAGCAGUGGGGAAGAUUGCACAAUGGGCGCAAGCCUGAUGCAGCGACGCCGCGUGGGGGAUGACGGCCUUCGGGUUGGAAACUCCUUUCGCUAGGGACGAAGCUUUUUGUGACGGUACCUAGAUAAGAAGCACCGGCUAACUACGUG
rnacentral:rRNA from 1 species